GUCUACUGUAAGUGUGAUAAAUUUUGUUACAAUUCUAUUACUGCUGGGUUCUGGGAGGAUGGUAACCUUGAAUUGAUUUUUCCUUUUAGGGGAUUUAUGAGUUAAGCACAUUCCGUUCUAAGUUGAAGAACCCAGAGAUAAUUGCUGCCCAUUUAGUGAAGAGGAAAGCCUGGAGGGAAGUUACAGAAUUCCCAAAGGUCUGUGUAGGAAUCAUUCUGGCUGGAAGAGUGUGGCCCAUCAUGCCCUUCACCAGGACAACUGAAGAGUCUUCUCGUUUUGAGUUUAAAGCGAACUGACAGUUGGAGAAAGGUCAACAAAAUGUUCAUCCGUGCAGUUUCUACGCCAUAAACCCUUCAGACUUCAAAUAAGCACAUAACCAAUUUUAUAGAGUUUUAUCAAAUAGUCGCCCUUGUUUUUAGAAUGAACGAAGCAAUGACUUUAAUUUAGCAACUGGGGGGUGCUUAAAAAAUAUUAAUAAUUAAAAGUUUCAUAUUAAGCAGUA